rnacentral:snRNA from 1 species
AAGAGUAUCAUAAUAUCUAAAAG